UACGAAGGGGGCUAGCGUUGCUCGGAAUCACUGGGCGUAAAGCGCACGUAGGCGGAUUGUUAAGUCAGGGGUGAAAUCCUGGAGCUCAACUCCAGAACUGCCUUUGAUACUGGCGAUCUUGAGUCCGGGAGAGGUGAGUGGAACUCCGAGUGUAGAGGUGAAAUUCGUAGAUAUUCGGAAGAACACCAGUGGCGAAGGCGGCUCACUGGCCCGGUACUGACGCUGACGGAGCGAAAGUGUGGGA
rnacentral:rRNA from 1 species